rnacentral:rRNA from 1 species
GACGAACGCUGGCGGCGUGCUUAACACAUGCAAGUCGAACGGAAAGGCCCUGCUUUUGUGGGGUGCUCGAGUGGCGAACGGGUGAGUAACACGUGAGUAACCUGCCCUUGACUUUGGGAUAACUUCAGGAAACUGGGGCUAAUACCUGAUAGGAGCUCCUGCUGCAUGGUGGGGGUUGGAAAGUUUCGGCGGUUGGGGAUGGACUCGCGGCUUAUCAGCUUGUUGGUGGGGUAGUGGCUUACCAAGGCUUUGACGGGUAGCCGGCCUGAGAGGGUGACCGGCCACAUUGGGACUGAGAUACGGCACAGACGCCUACGGGAGGCAGCAGUGGGGAAUAUUGCACAAUGGGCGGAAGCCUGAUGCAGCAACGCCGCGUGCGGGAUGACGGCCUUCGGGUUGUAAACCGCUUUCGCCUGUGACGAAGCGUGAGUGACGGUAAUGGGUAAAGAAGCACCGGCUAACUACGUG